CUUCUACUCCCUUCGUUCCAAAAUUCUUGUCUUAGAUUUGUCUAAAUACGGAUAUAUACAUCCGUAUUUAGAAAAAUCUAAAACAAGAAUUUUAGGACGGAGGGAGUACUAU
rfam:Triticum aestivum genome assembly, contig: Triticum_aestivum_CS42_TGACv1_scaffold_197319_3AL